UAUCAUGAUGAUCAUUCUUUCAAUAUAAUAUACGCUGGAAAUUACCGGCUGAGACUUUCGAGUUGUUGAAGAUAUCAAAUGGCUAUAUCUGAUU
rnacentral:snoRNA from 1 species